rnacentral:misc_RNA from 1 species
UUAAUAUUAAAUCAAUAAAUAAAAUUGUUAGGAUCUUAUAUUUUAUAAUUUCCUCAAUUUCAAGUUUAAUAACAAUUAUAAUUAUCUCCUUUAACUUUACCCAAUUAAUUAUUUUAAAAAACCCUGAUAUUAAUUUAAUAUUAAUAAUUUCUAUAUUUAUAAAAUUUAUUCCUAUUUAUUUUUUCUCUUCUAUUAUUUAUCUUUCACCAAUUAUAAUCACUUUAUUAUUUUUAAGUAAUUUAUUUAUUUCAUUAUAUACAAAUUUAAAUUUUUCGAUCAAAAAAUUAUUUGGAUGUUCAUCAAUUUUUAAUUCUUUAUUAUUUAUUUUAACAAUUUAUAGAAAUAAAAAUUUAUUUUUACUAUUUAUAAUUAUUUAUUUUACUUCAUUCCUUAAUUUAAUUUUAAUAUUAAAAUUUUAUAAUAUUGAAAAUUUAAAUUUCAAUAAUAUCUCAUUAAAUUCAUAUUAUAUAUUAAUUUUAAUACUAUUCAUAUAUUCUUCAUUUCCAUUAUUUAUAACAUUUAUAUUAAAAUGAGAAUUUAUUUAUACUUUAAAUAUAAAUUAUAGAAAUAAUUUAAUUUUUCUUUUCUUAUUAUCAAGAAUAUUUAUACUUUGAAAUUAUUUUAUUUUAUUUAAAUUUAUAAUUUUAAAAUUUAAAUUUAAUAAAUUAUAUAAAAUUAACUUUAUUAAUUUAAAAAAAAUUUCUAUAAUUGUAUUAACA